GACGAACGCUGGCGGCGUGCCUAAUACAUGCAAGUCGAGCGAGACUCUUCGGAGUCUAGCGGCGGACGGGUGAGUAACACGUGGGCAACCUGCCUGUAAGACUGGGAUAACACCGGGAAACCGGUGCUAAUACCGGAUAAUCCUUUUUCUCUCAUGAGGAAAAGCUGAAAGUCGGUUUCGGCUGACACCUACAGAUGGGCCCGCGGCGCAUUAGCUAGUUGGUGAGGUAACGGCUCACCAAGGCGACGAUGCGUAGCCGACCUGAGAGGGUGGUCGGCCACACUGGGACUGAGACACGGCCCAGACUCCUGCGGGAGGCAGCAGUAGGGAAUCUUCCACAAUGGACGAAAGUCUGAUGGAGCAACGCCGCGGGAGCGAUGAAGGCCUUCGGGUCGUAAAGCUCUGUUGUUAGGGAAGAACAAGUACCGGAGUAACGGCCGGUACCUUGACGGUACCUAACCAGAAAGCCACGGCUAACUACGUGCCAGCCGCCGCCGUAA
rnacentral:rRNA from 1 species